CCUACGGGUGGCAGCAGUGAGGAAUAUUGGUCAAUGGACGAGAGUCUGAACCAGCCAAGUAGCGUGAAGGAUGACUGCCCUAUGGGUUGUAAACUUCUUUUAUAAAGGAAUAAAACGAGGCACGUGUGCCUUUUUGCAUGGACUUUAUGAAUAAGGAUCGGCUAACUCCGUGCCAGCAGCCGCGGUAAUAAGGAGGAUCCGAGCGUUAGCCGGAGUGAUUGGGUUUAAAGGGAGCGUAGAUGGGUUGUUAAGUCAGUUGUGAAAGUUUGCGGCUCAACCGUAAAAUUGCAAUUGAUACUGGCAGUCUUGAGUACAGUUGAGGUAAGCGGAAUUCGUGGUGUAGCGGUUACAUGCUUAG
rnacentral:rRNA from 1 species